AUCUUGAUUUAUUGAGAGGCAAAAGGGUGAGUAACACAUUGGUGAUCUACCCUCAUCUCGGGUAUAACUUUGCGAAAGCGGAGCUAAUCCCCGAUAGUCUCUAUUUGCUACGGCAUUUAGAGUAAAGAUUUAUCGGAUGAGGAGGAGCCUAUGGUCUAUCAGCUUGUUGGUGAGGUAAAAGCUCACCAAGGCUAUGACGGAUACCGGGUGUGAGAGCAUGACCCGGCUCAAUGGGACUGAGACACUGCCCAUACUCC
rnacentral:rRNA from 1 species